rnacentral:rRNA from 1 species
UCCACGCCGUAAACGAUGGGCACUAGCCGUCGGGCGUAAGCUCGGUGGCGGAGCUAACGCGUUAAGUGCCCCGCCUGGGGAGUACGGCCGCAAGGCUAAAACUCAAAGGAAUUGACGGGGACCCGCACAAGCGGUGGAGCAUGUGGUUUAAUUCGAAGCAACGCGCAGAACCUUACCUGGGCUUGACAUCCCGAUGACAGCCCCUGAAAGGGGGUCUUCCCGUUGCUUCGGCA